AUAUCCCUGCGGUGCGCGUUAGAGACCAGAUAAUUGUUGAACCAACACCAACAAUAGGGGAGCCCGUAGUUCUUGUGCGCCUUGGCGCGGCAAGAUAGGGCACCCACCUGAAACUAAACCGGUUCAGACUAUCCCUCUAACGGCACAGGCGGGGAUUUU
rnacentral:other from 1 species